UACGGGGGGAGCAAGCGUUGUUCGGAUUUACUGGGCGUAAAGGGCGCGUAGGCGGCCAGCACAAGUCAGUUGUGAAAUCUCCGAGCUUAACUCGGAAAGGUCAACUGAUACUGUGCGGCUAGAGUGCGGAAGGGGCAACUGGAAUUCUUGGUGUAGCGGUGAAAUGCGUAGAUAUCAAGAGGAACACCAAUUGCGAAGGCAGCUCGCUGGGACGUAACUGACGCUGAGACGCGAAAGCGUGGGGAGCAAACAGG
rnacentral:rRNA from 1 species